rnacentral:rRNA from 1 species
UACGAAGGGGGCUAGCGUUGCUCGGAAUCACUGGGCGUAAAGCGUGCGCAGGCGGUUUUGUAAGCCAGAUGUGAAAUCCCCGGGCUUAACCUGGGAAUGGCAUUUGGGACUGCAAGGCUGGAGUGUGGCAGAGGAGACUGGAAUUCCUGGUGUAGCAGUGAAAUGCGUAGAUAUCAGGAGGAAUACCGAUGGCGAAGGCAGGUCUCUGGGCUGACACUGACGCUCAUGCACGAAAGCGUGGGGAGCAAACAGG